rnacentral:rRNA from 1 species
UGAGGAAUAUUGCACAAUGGGGGGAACCCUGAUGCAGCAACGCCGCGUGGAGGAUGACGCAUUUCGGUGUGUAAACUCCUUUUAUAUGUCAAGAAAAUGACGGUAGCAUAUGAAUAAGCACCGGCUAACUCCGUGCCAGCAGCCGCGGUAAUACGGAGGGUGCAAGCGUUACUCGGAAUCACUGGGCGUAAAGGACGCGUAGGCUGUUUGGCAAGUCAGAUGUGAAAUCCUAUGGCUCAACCAUAGAACUGCAUUUGAAACUGCCAGACUAGAGUAUGGGAGGGGGAGAUGGAAUUAGUGGUGUAGGGGUAAAAUCCGUAGAUAUCACUAGGAAUACCUAAAGCGAAGGCGAUCUCCUGGAACAUUACUGACGCUAAGGCGUGAAAGCGUGGGGAGCAAA